rnacentral:lncRNA from 1 species
GACAUGUGACUAGGGCUACUUGCUCCGCCAGCCAUAAGAAGUUUGUCUGGUAAAGUAAAGAGAAACUAAGUUAUUGUCAUUCAAGCAGAGAUCCAUGAUCAGGGAGAAACAGCAGGGAAACAGAGCCAUCCCAAGUCCUGCUCCUCAUCAUGACAUAUUAAGUACAUUGUGGGUACAUUGUGGAUACAUAAGGAUACAUAUGGAUGCAUAGAGCAGAGGGUUUCUGAAAGGAUGGGAUCAAGGCUGAUCCUCCCAGCAUUUGUCUCUCAAUCAUAAGCCUAAUAAAAGAGCUGGUAAAGGAAGCCAGAUGGAGAUUGAUGUGGGUAAAUUCUGAUGCUGUUUGUGUGCCUGGAUCCAACUGUGCCUAAAGAUGCUUGCCACAUCAAAAUGCCAGUUAAAGAGGGGAUCAAUGGCACAAUCUGGAAAGAAGUUCAAUCAACUUGCCCUGGAAAGAGGACCUGGAAAAGGGCUCUGGUGUCCAUAAGUUCAUCUUCAGAGUACUGGAAUCAGCUGUAGGCUUAAGCAGGGAAGAAUCAGGCAAGGGGAAUGGCUUUACACAGUGCACAUGAGAUUCUCCCUACACCAGAAAUGGAUGCCGAGAUGGGAAGAGGAUUAACAGGAUUCUCUGACAUUUUUCUCAGUUAGAUCAUCUGCAAUUAACUUAGCAACACCAGGUGACUACAGUAGGAUGGGCCAAGAAGCACACACCCGGAGUCUAACAACCAGAAAAUACAAAUAAACUUAAGGACAUCUC